AAACCAACAGGGAUUGCCUCAGUAGCGGCGAGUGAAGCGGCAAGAGCUCAGAUUUGAAAUCUCACCUAGUGUGCGAGUUGUAAAUUGCAGGUUGGAGUCUCGGGUUAGACGUGUGUGCAAGUCCCUUGGAACAGGGUGCCACUGAGGGUGAGAGCCCCGUAGCGUGCAUGUCGACACCUGUGAGGCCCUUCUGACGAGUCGAGUUGUUUGGGAAUGCAGCUCUAAGUGGGUGGUAAAUUCCAUCUAAGGCUAAAUAUUGGCGAGAGACCGAUAGCGAACAAGUACUGUGAAGGAAAGAUGAAAAGCACUUUGAAAAGAGAGUGAAACAGCACGUGAAAUUGUUGAAAGGGAAGGGUAUUGGGCUCGACAUGGGAUUUACGCAUCGUUGCCUCUCGUGGGCGGCGCUCUGGGUUUUUCCUGGGCCAGCAUCGGUUUUCGUUGCAGGAUAAGGACAAUUGGAAUGUGGCUCCUCGGAGUGUUAUAGCCUUUGUAGAUGCUGCGUAUGGGGACCGAGGGCUGCGGCGGACUCGUUUCG
rnacentral:rRNA from 1 species